UACGGAGGGUGCGAGCGUUGUCCGGAAUCAUUGGGCGUAAAGGGCGCGUAGGUGGCCCGGUCAGUCCGUGGUGAAAGCGCGGGGCUCAACCCCGCGUCGGCCAUGGAUACUGCUGGGCUUGAGCACUGUAGAGGCAGGCGGAAUUCCGGGUGUAGCGGUGGAAUGCGUAGAGAUCCGGAAGAACACCGGUGGCGAAGGCGGCCUGCUGGGCAGUGGCUGACACUGAGGAGCGAAAGCGUGGGGAGCGAACAGG
rnacentral:rRNA from 1 species